rnacentral:rRNA from 1 species
AGUGAACGCUGGCGGUAGGCCUAACACAUGCAAGUCGAACGGCAGCACAGGAGAGCUUGCUCUCUGGGUGGCGAGUGGCGGACGGGUGAGGAAUACAUCGGAAUCUACUCUGUCGUGGGGGAUAACGUAGGGAAACUUACGCUAAUACCGCAUACGACCUACGGGUGAAAGCAGGGGACCUUCGGGCCUUGCGCGGUUUAAUGAGCCGAUGUCGGAUUAGCUAGUUGGCGGGGUAAAGGCCCACCAAGGCUACGAUCCGUAGCUGGUCUGAGAGGAUGAUCAGCCACACUGGAACUGAGACACGGUCCAGACUCCUACGGGAGGCAGCAGUGGGGAAUAUUGGACAAUGGGCGCAAGCCUGAUCCAGCCAUACCGCGUGGGUGAAGAAGGCCUUCGGGUUGUAAAGCCCUUUUGUUGGGAAAGAAAUCCAGCUGGCUAAUACCCGGUUGGGAUGACGGUACCCAAAGAAUAAGCACCGGCUAACUUCGUGCCAGCCGCCGCAGUAA